GCAAUAAUUUGCAAAGGUGUGAACCACAGGCGGUAUCCAAUAUCCAAGAAUCUAAUAUUGAAGCACUUAAUGAUAAAUUAGCUUGUAUCAUAUACAAACUUUUAGCAAUAUUUAUCGAUUUCAUGGCUGCAAGAUAAUCCUUACAAUUUCUCUUCCAGUGGCCCUCUUUGCUAUAGUGAUAAUAAGUACCUUUUACGGAGACCUUCUUCACCUUCUUCUUGGAGAUGCCAGCCA
rnacentral:lncRNA from 1 species